AAUACAUUUAUAAAUGCACUUAGCACUGUGCCUGAAUUCACAGUGAGCGCUCAAUAAACAGGAUGAUUGUUAUCGUAUGGUAAGUGCUCAGUAACUUCAUAUUGAAUGGGCGGAGGCUUUUGGAGACUAGAGUUCUGUUGCAGGAAGUGAGUUCUACAACUGCCACACAGGAACAAGGCAAGUGCUAGGUGCCCUCAUCCCAGGCCUGCUCCUUUUCUAAUAGAAAGAGAAAGGAAAAAGAGUCAUCGACCAUCUACAGUGAUACAAGGAAACGGUGUCGACUACCCCCUCAGACUGCAAAGCACUGUCCAAAUGUGAUAUGUCUACUGAGAAGAGAGCUUGCUGAGAGGUGUUCUCAACCUUCUGCAGGAUACAGAUUUCUCCUAAAGUUAGUGCUGUAGUCCUAAAAGGGGAAUUCGUGAAC
rnacentral:lncRNA from 1 species